rnacentral:tRNA from 1 species
AGAGGUAGAACUCGGUGGUAGAGCGCAUGCUCAGCAUGCAUGGAGGUCCUGGGUUCAAUCCCCAGUAACUCCA